CCUACGGGAGGCAGCAGUGGGGAAUCUUGCGCAAUGGGCGAAAGCCUGACGCAGCAACGCCGCGUGCGGGAAGAAGGCUUUCGGGCUGUAAACCGCUUUCAGCAGGAACGAAAAUGACGGUACCUGCAGAAGAAGGAGCGGCCAACUAUGUGCCAGCAGCCGCGGUGAUACAUAGGCUUCAAGCGUUGUCCGGAUUUAUUGGGCGUAAAGAGUUCGUAGGCGGUCGAGUAAGUCGGGUGUGAAAAUUCUGGGCUCGAACCCAGAGACGCCACCCGAUACUGCUUGACUUGAGUUCGAUAGGGGAGUGGGGAAUUCCUAGUGUAGCGGUGAAAUGCGCAGAUAUUAGGAGGAACACCGGUGGCGAAGGCGCCACUCUGGAUCGAUACUGACGCUGAGGAACGAAAGCAUGGGUAGCAAACAGGAUUAGAUACCCUGGUAGUCCAUGCCGUAAACGGUGGGCACUAGGUGUGGGUUUCUAUUAACGAAAUCCGCGCCGUCGCUAACGCAUUAAGUNCCCCGCCUGGGGGUAGGUACGGUCGCGAGACGAAACGACGAAGAAGUAAGUAGCGUUGAGAGUUGCGAAGGACGACGACGAGGGAGGAGG
rnacentral:rRNA from 1 species